rnacentral:rRNA from 1 species
UACGUAGGAGGCGAGCGUUGUCCGGAAUCACUGGGUGUAAAGCGCGUGUAGGCGGCCUGCCAAGUCUGCUGUGAAAGCGCCUGGCUUAACCGGGCGAGGUCGGUGGAAACUGGCGGGCUGGAGGACGGUAGAGGGGGGUGGAACUGCGAGUGUAGAGGUGAAAUUCGUAGAUAUUCGCAAGAACACCAGUGGCGAAGGCGGCUCACUGGCCCGGUACUGACGCUGAGGUGCGAAAGCGUGGGGAGCAAACAGG